rnacentral:rRNA from 1 species
AUUGAACGCUGGCGGCAGGCCUAACACAUGCAAGUCGAGCGGAAGAACGGUGCUUGCUCGGUACUCCAGGGGCGGACGGGUGAGUAACGCCUGGGUGAUCUGCCGUUCACGGGGGCAAAGGCCGGGAAAAGGGGGUCAAUACCCCAAACGGCGGGAGGUGGAGAGGGGGGGUUGUUCGGUCCUUUCGGUGUAGGAUGAGCUUGGGCCGGAUUGGCUAGUUGGUGGGGUAAAGGCCUACCAAGGCGCCGAUCCGUAACUGGCCUGGGAGGAUGACCGGGCACACUGGAACUGAGACACGGCCCAGGCUCCUACGGGAGGCCGCAGUGGGGAAUAUUGGACAAUGGGCGGAAGCCUGAUCCAGCCAUGCCGCGUGGGUGAAGAAGGUCUUCGGGUUGUAAAGCACUUUUAGUGGUGAAGAAGAGCAGCAAGUGAAUACCAGGCUGUUGUGACGGUACCAACAGAAGAAGCACCGGCUAACUUCGUG